UCUGAAUCUGCGAACGGCUCCGCAAACCAGUUGUAAACUAUAGCAAGCAAGCCCGGGGCUGGCCUUCACGGGCCGGCUCCGGGUUAUAUGGAUAACCCUGGUAAUUCUGAGGCUAAUACAUGACAGUACAACCUGGCUGACUGGGCUUCGGCCUGGGAUGCCGGGGGACGUGUGAUUGAGGGCUUGGUAACACCGGGAAGGGGCGCACGUCUAGACCACGCUAUAAAGGUCGGUUUCCCCUUCGGGGGGGGUCGUCCCAGUGGCUCUUGCUGUGUGCUUCUGACCUAUCAACUAGACGGCAGCAUAAGGGACAUGCUAUGGU
rnacentral:rRNA from 1 species